UACGGGGGGGGCAAGCGUUGUUCGGAAUUACUGGGCGUAAAGGGCGCGUAGGCGGCUCGCUAAGUUGGAUGUGAAAACUCUGGGCUUAACCCAGAGCCUGCAUCCAAAACUGGCAAGCUUGAGUACUGGAGGGGAAAGCGGAAUUCCUGGUGUAGCGGUGAAAUGCGUAGAUAUCAGGAGGAACACCGGUGGCGAAGGCGGCUUUCUGGACAGUAACUGACGCUGAGGCGCGAAAGCUAGGGGAGCAAACAGG
rnacentral:rRNA from 1 species